GGUCAAGUUACUAGGAGCGCAGGGCGGAUGCCUUGGCACCGUAAGCCGACGAAGGACGCGAUAAGCUGCGAAAAGCUGUGGGGAGGAGCAAAUAUCUUAAGAUCCACAGAUGUCCGAAUGGGGAAACCCGG
rnacentral:rRNA from 1 species